GGAGCUCCUCCUCGGCUCCUCCUGUUUGUACCCGAAGAGGAGAUGAGGACACAGAGAGACGCAGGGACGCAUGUGCACGGAGGAGAGAUCCCGUGAGGACGUUGCCAGAGGGCGGCCAUCUGCAAGCCACGCAGAAGGGCCUCCAGAGCAACCAACCCUGCCAACACCUUGAUCUUGGACUUCCAGGCUGCAGAACUAUGGAAAAAUGCGUUGGGCAAAGCAGCUCACAUCUGGAUCCCUCGGCUCCACACAGAGGCGUCACCCAACUCCCGGCCUGUCCCUAGCCCCUUCCUCAGAGAGACACCUUAAUCCUUUGCGCCUUCCUGUUUAUCUCCUGCAUCUCUUGGAGGCAAAAAUAUUGGACUGCUGUGCUUUAGAGAGAAAAACCCACAUCUAAGUCCCCUGGACUCUUCCUGGAACUCUAAGUAGUGCCCUUGCACACAGAGACUGAAUCUGCAUCCAUUGUUUUUGAUGAAUUUACCAAACCAUAAGUGUUGGCCCACCCCAAAAGACCCUGGCGAACUUACUCUCAAUCCCAUCAGGACUACCCCAGGUCCAGAAAGCAUCCAGCAGACAUUGGUGAGCAGUUUCCAGACCAUGUCUCUCAGGGACUCUGGUCCUGGCUCCCCCAGACUUCACAUGGCCCAGGGGCUUCUCACUGGAGCAGGAAGGCCAUUUGGUGAUGGGUCUCCUCAGAGGCUCUAGUCUGGGGCCCAGUACCCCACAGCAGCCCUCCAGCACACAGGAUCACCAUGUCUUCUCCUUCCAGAGCAGUUCUUUUGAGAAGACUGACCAUGUUAUCUCUGUAGCAUAACGGCUGAAUUCUCCAAAAAAAAAAAAAAACCAACUCACGCAGGCACCAUCGCAGGCUGCAGGCCCCAGCCAUUGGCUGCCUGCGCACUGGGACAGGUACUGCUCUCAGAUCUGUCAUGAUUGUUGACACAUUUCCACAUGUCCAGGCCACAUGGGCAGGUUGGGACAUGGCAAAAAUUUGCAGGUCGGUGGGGGGCGCUUCUUCCCUCACCAGCUCCUCUGCUAGGUAAGUCCAUGGCUCCUGGGUAAGGACCAGGAGACCUACUCAGCAUGUACAACUCACAAAUUCCCUGAGGGAGAGGGGGCAGUGUUCUCAACCGGUGGCAAUUUUGUCCCCCAGUGGACAUCUGGCAGUGUCUACAGACAUUUUUGGUUAUCAUGACUGGGGAGGGAGGGGCUGUUUGCAUCCAGGGAUAGAAACCAGAGAGGUCGCUAAACUUCCUACAAUGCACAGGACAGUUCCCCCAAACAGAGCCUGCCAAAUGUCCAUAGUGCUGAGUUUGAGAAUUCCUGGGUUAGGGAGAUCAUGACGCCCACCGCCUCCAGGGUAUGUAAAUGUUUAAUCCCCUUUGCCUAAAAUGCUGUUCUCUAAGUGCAAACUCUGAGGCUUAGAAAGCUGCUCCAGGAGCGCCAGGCGCAGUGGCUCACGCCUGUAAUCCCAGCACUUUGGGAGGCCGAGACGGGCGGAUCACCUGAAGUCAGGAGUUUGAAACCAGCCUGACCAACAUGGAGAAACCCCGUCUCUACUAAAAAAUACAAAAUUAGUGGGCAUGGUGGCACAUGCCUGUAAUCCCAGCUACUCGGGAGGAUGAGGCAGGAGAAUCGCUUGAACCCGGGAGGCAAAGGUUGCGGUGAGCUGAGAUCACGCCAUUGCACUCCAGCCUGGGCGACAAGAGCAAAACUCGUCUCAAAAAAAAAAAAACAAAAAAGAAAAAGAAAGCUGCUCCAGGAGGUGACUGUCAUUAACUCCUUCAACAAAGCUUUAACUGACGCCUUUAAAAGGGCCAGGUGCUGGUGUGACAGCGGCAGGCAAGAUGGAGUCCUGUCCCAGGGUCCUUCCUGGCUCAGGGGAAGAUGGACAGUGGUCUAGUAAUUGCACUGUUUUCAACGGUGACCAGAGCUGUCAAGACUAACACUCAAGGAGGCCGUUCUUCUGGACCUCUCUGGAACAACGGGGAGAGGACAGGGCCUGAGAAGAGAGUCGGAGCACAGACGGGAUAUUCUGCCAGCGCUGCCCCAACUGUAACGUGCAUAUGGUCACCUGGGGAUCCUGUGCAAAUGCAGGCUCUGAUGGGGAGGGAUGGAACUGGAACUCAAUGGAAAAGAACCCAGUUGGGACAUGACCCACUGUGUGGACAGAGAGCCUUUGCAAGGAGGUAAAGGGAGGUUCAACCGCAGGGGCCUGUGAUGGGGCAGUGGGCAGAUGCCUGGUUUCAAGAGAAAUUUCUCCUUAAAUGACUGGUUCAGAAUCAUAAAAAUACUUGAGAGUUAUUUUUAAGAGUUUGAGGUAGUCUGUAUUUCCUUUAUUACUUUGCUGCUCCAUUUGGUAUGCUAUUUAUUUAGAAAUUGUUCAGCUCCUGUUUAUAAAUUUUAGGUAUUCCGCCU
rnacentral:lncRNA from 1 species